CCUGAAGAAAACUCACCUGAAAAGAACUCUCCUGACGAGAACUUUUCUGUUAAUAACUUACCUGCAAACGAUGUACCUGUAAUGUCAUCCCAAUUUCUAGACCAAGAUUCAAGUACACAAAUGGAAGCUGAACGAGAAACUGAAGAUGUUCUGCCUGGAGCUGAGCAAAGUGAAUCGAGUGAAGACACUGACUCUGGCGAAUCAGAUUGUGUCAGACGGUCUAACCGUAAAAGAGAGCAACCUGAGCGCCUGCACUAUGCUCAGUUUGGAAACCCAGUUGUCUCCAUGGUUCAGUCUUUAUUCCAUGGCCUAAGCACAGCUUUUACCGAAGCUUUGAGAGACAUUCCAGAACCUGAUUACUUACCUUGUUCCCAUUCCAAACCUGUUACUGCACAGCCAUACAGAUGCACCGGGACGUGCAUACGUUCAAGCGGGGAGGGUGUAACCCAGGUUAUAAAAGUCUGAAUUAUUUAAAAAGUACAUUUUAUUAUUAAAAAGGGCACAUAAUUAAUAUAUAGUCUAUUACAAUUAAGAAUAGCUAAUUCUUAAUAAAAACACAAUAAAUAAAAUAAGUCAAUUAAAUAAGGAGCUGGGAAAAUAAUGUAAAUAAAUACAGACACAAAUAUUAGAGUAAAAUAAACUUUAUUUAAUCCAUAAAUAAUUAUUUUUCAUAUUUUUGGGAAUACUUUGUUGUUUUAGUAGCACGUCACCUAUUGCAGCCAAUAGGGUGAUCGUAUUACGCUGACAUGAGUGGGAAAUACUGUUGACCCUGACCCAGCACUUCCUUUUGGGUCAAGCAGCCGUCAGGAGCAGGUGAAUGCUGGAAGAAAGUUGACAGAAAGCUAGAUACAAGCCAAACUUAGGUGAUAGAAACCUUAUUAUUAUCAGUAAUAACUCUCAUCUACUCUAAAACGUGAGCUGGUGGAGCCAAGACGCAGUUUGUGGUGAAUGAGGAGCUUAUUAGCCUGAUACACAGAGGUUUUUCUGCAUCGGUCAGGUUUUUUGACUAGAGUUCAAAUUGGAUUCCCUCGUUUCUACGUUUGAUGGCGAGCCUCCCUGGACUUCGACCCUGAAAGCUGUUUGCAAGUACUGUGGACAACUCUGAUCUGUGAAACCCCUUUUUUUCCUUUAUUGCUGAACCUUUAUUCAUCUUCAGAGCGGUAGGAGAAAUACUCACCAUGCCAUAGACUGGACUCUUUGCACAUACCCACACUUCAAACUCCAACUCCCACCUGUGAAACAAAAGAAAAAAAGAACUUUAUAUUGUUGUGGUUUUGAUAUAUGUAUAUUGUGUUAUUAUUUUAAUUGAACUUAAUUCUUGAAUUUACACAAUCUAACUAAUAUUCUUGUUAUUUUAUUUUGGUAUUCUGGUGAAAAAGGGAUAUUCUGAUAUUGAUACUGAGGUUGAUAUUGAUAUUUUGCAUAUAUAAAUAUAUUAUUAUUAUAGAUUUUCCUACCCGGGUAGUAGUAAUAUAAAUAGUAUCACAUACAACAACAUCAGGGAAAGAUAAUAUUGGUAUUAUUCAUAUUGAAUUCUAUAUCUUUUGUUUAUUAUUUUCUUUUAUUAUAAUAGUAUUAUAAUAGUAUUCGUACUUACCUUUUCAAUAAAUGGAGGCUUCCAUUAAGCUCCAAAUUCCA